GAUGAAAGCAGCUCCAUCAGCAGCGGUUUGAGUGAUGGUUCAGACAACCUCAGCUCAGAGGAGUUCAACGCAGGCUCCUCCCUCAACUCCCUGCCGACAACUCCCAUUGGCUCCCGACGCAACUCUGCCAUUGUGCUGCGCACCGAUGCUGAGAAGCGCUCGCUGGUUGAAAGUGGCCUUUCCUGGUACAGCGAGGAGGGGAAGGCACAAUGCCGGAAUGAGGGAGGAUACGACACAGGCAGCCUUAAGGCGGAGUCGUCCAGCAAAUGGA